ensembl:antisense Gm44963 predicted gene 44963
GACAGACAUCAAGACCAGGACGCUGAGGAAGGCCACUGCAGCCACCAGGAGGAGUCCUGAGGCUUUCACUAUGUAGUCCUGCCUAGCCUAGAGCUCCAUACAUAGACCACAGAGAUCCACCUGUGUCUGCCCUGAGUGCUGGGAUUAUAGGCCUAUACUACCACACCCGACCCUUGGGAGUCUUUCAAUGAAGAGGAUCCUGAAUUUAAGGAUGCGAGAAGUGGAGACUCCAGGGCUACCGGUUAUGGAUCUUGAGGCAAGAAUGGCUGUGGAUGGGGAGUGCCUGGGAGGAACACACUGAAACCGCAGGAGGAUCUUGGAGUCAGCACCUGUGCCCAGACGCGUGGAUGACAGAGCAGAAACUGAAGUCACGUGGGGGAGACACAGACACAUGAACCAGGAGUCAGUGCCUGCAGUCACCUGGCAGAGACAUGUGAGAACAGCAGCAAGCAUCUCAGGCAGGCUUCCAGAGUGCGUGAGUGAGCAGGGGCUUUGGGAAGUCUCUCUUUGAUGGCUCCAGUCUCCCUUUCUUAGUGAUUAAGAGCAGGGCCACAGCAUAGAACAGAACCCGAACGGGGCAGGGGUGGGGGCAGAUACCAACCCCUGGGCAGUUCAAUCAGUCUCCCUGAGAUCUUGUCUGUUGUGUGUCCUUGAAGAGCCAACUUCAUUGACAAACUGAACUUUAUGGGCCCAAGGACUGAGCACAUCUUCCUCCUGAUAGUAAUGGUUGAAUAAAUGCAUAAAGUCAA